GAUGAACGCUGGCGGCGUGCCUAAUACAUGCAAGUCGAGCGAACAGAUGAGGGGCUUGCUCCUCUGACGUUAGCGGCGGACGGGUGAGUAACACGUGGAUAACCUACCUAUAAGACUGGGAUAACUUCGGGAAACCGGAGCUAAUACCGGAUAAUAUAUUGAACCGCAUGGUUCAAUAGUGAAAGACGGUUUUGCUGUCACUUAUAGAUGGAUCCGCGCCGCAUUAGCUAGUUGGUAAGGUAACGGCUUACCAAGGCAACGAUGCGUAGCCGACCUGAGAGGGUGAUCGGCCACACUGGAACUGAGACACGGUCCAGACUCCUACGGGAGGCAGCAGUAGGGAAUCUUCCGCAAUGGGCGAAAGCCUGACGGAGCAACGCCGCGUGAGUGAUGAAGGUCUUCGGAUCGUAAAACUCUGUUAUUGGGGAAGAACAAAUGUGUAAGUAACUAUGCACGUCUUGACGGUACCUAAUCAGAAAGCCACGGCUAACUACGUG
rnacentral:rRNA from 1 species